rnacentral:rRNA from 1 species
CCUACGGGGGGCAGCAGUGAGGAAUAUUGGUCAAUGGACGCAAGUCUGAACCAGCCAUGCCGCGUGCAGGAAGACGGCUCUAUGAGUUGUAAACUGCUUUUGUACGAGGGUAAAUCCCGAUACGUGUAUCGGGUUGAAAGUAUCGUACGAAUAAGGAUCGGCUAACUCCGUGCCAGCAGCCGCGGUAAUACGGAGGAUUCAAGCGUUAUCCGGAUUUAUUGGGUUUAAAGGGUGCGUAGGCGGUUCGAGAAGUUAGAGGUGAAAGCCCGGGGCUCAACUCCGGCACUGCCUCUGAUACUGUCGGGCUAGAGUUUAGUUGCGGUAGGCGGAAUGUAUGGUGUAGCGGUGAAAUGCAUAGAGAUCAUACAGAACACCGAUUGCGAAGGCAGCUUACCAAACUACGACUGACGUUGAGGCACGAAAGCGUGGGGAGCAAACAGGAUUAGAUACCCCAGUAGUC